UGGGUAGUCGUUGCAUUUCC
rnacentral:miRNA from 2 species